ensembl:lncRNA LINC02629 long intergenic non-protein coding RNA 2629
CUAGACUCCAUGUGGCUUCUUCUGCCUGCAUCAUGGCCUGGAAACCGUCCACAUGAUAGCCUAAAUCAAUCAUAGGACUCACCAGAUUCAGUGAGUACAUGUGCAGGUUCAUUAUCAGCAUGUAUUGCAUGAUGCUGAGAUUUGGAGUACAAAUGAUCUCAUCACCCAGGGUCUUGCUCUGUCACCCAGCCUGGAGUGCAAUGGCGUGAUCCGCUCACAGCGACCUCUGCCUCCUGGGUUCAGGCAAUUCUCCUGCCUCAGCCUCUUGAGUACCUAGGAUUACAGGCGCACACCACCACGACCGAAAAGUGACCUGGAAGGAACAGGCGUAAACAUGGAGGAUCCAGUUGGGCUUUGCAUUUGCAUCCAGGUGGUCGCAUUUUAAAGAACUGAACCGAUGCCAAAUACAGACAGCAAUUUUUAUGGGAGAGACAAACAGAGAGAAGAAAAGGAAAACCAAAAGACAAUAAAAAGACGGGAUACAUCAGAGGAUAAAAGGAGCUCAUUUCCUGUAGAGGAACAAACUCCUUUCCUGUCUUCCUGUCUCACUCCCCCAACCAGGACAGCUCCUCUAUCUACAGCAGGCCCUAAGUCACACCUCCAUUGACCUAAUAAAAACUGGUUCCUAUCA